rnacentral:rRNA from 1 species
AGUGAACGCUGGCGGUAGGCCUAACACAUGCAAGUCGAACGGCAGCACAGUAAGAGCUUGCUCUUACGGGUGGCGAGUGGCGGACGGGUGAGGAAUACAUCGGAAUCUACUUUUUCGUGGGGGAUAACGUAGGGAAACUUGCGCUAAUACCGCAUACGACCUACGGGUGAAAGCAGGGGAUCUUCGGACCUUGCGCGAUUGAAUGAGCCGAUGUCGGAUUAGCUAGUUGGCGGGGUAAAGGCCCACCAAGGCGACGAUCCGUAGCUGGUCUGAGAGGAUGAUCAGCCACACUGGAACUGAGACACGGUCCAGACUCCUACGGGAGGCAGCAGUGGGGAAUAUUGGACAAUGGGCGCAAGCCUGAUCCAGCCAUACCGCGUGGGUGAAGAAGGCCUUCGGGUUGUAAAGCCCUUUUGUUGGGAAAGAAAAGUAGCAGGUUAAUACCCCGCUGUUCUGACGGUACCCAAAGAAUAAGCACCGGCUAACUUCGUG